CUCGGUGCCCUGGAGGACCUGGCCGGCUCCGCGGGAAGCUGUACUCAGAGCGCGCGGCCGCCCUCUGGCAGGGAGGAGUUCGUUGCACUUUUGAGGGUUCUUCACGAAGACAUCCAAUACAUAGAAAACAAGUAACAGCAACAGUAACGAAUUUUUAAAUAUUAAAAUUGCUGGGGAACACGACGGAUCCUGCAGCUGCUCGGCUGUCCCGGUCGUCAGUGACGCUAGGGCUCCGCACCGUACCCUGCAUACCGUAGGUGCUCACGAAACGUUCGUGAGUUCCCUGCUCUGAGGAAACAAGCUUAAAAACUCAGAAUCUAAGGUGUGAGUCUCCGCAAACCUGCUUGUUGGGCAGCGUCCCCCGCCCGGGCUAGCCCUGCACGCCCCACCCCGGAGCCACGCUUCUCCAGCCGGGACCCCUGCCUCCUUCCAGGCUAUUCUCGGAACCGCAGCCAGAGGGAAUUUUUUUUUCCUUUCCUGAAACGUAGAGCAGAUCUGGUUACUCUUCUGCACAACGCCCUAAAAUCUAGGGCCCUUCCCAUCCCUCAGAAUUUACAUCUAAUUCUCAGCUCCCCUCCGGCUUGCUGUAGCCAUCCUGGCUUUUGUUUAGCACAGCACUUACUGUUAGUGACAUUAUAUUGUAUAUUAUUAACAUAUUUGUGUUUUACAUCCCUCACUAGACCCCCAGGAAAGAGGCUUUGAUGUGUUGCCUGCUGCAAGGCUGGCUGCAUAAUUUGUGGAGCUCAGAGAAAAGUGCGGAGCUUCCUUGUUCAAAAAACAGAAAGAAAGUGCCUCUGAGGUCAUAAAAUAUAAAACUUUCUCUUUCCUCUCAGUUUCUCUCUUUUCAUAGUGUUUUUAUGUGUUAUUUAAUAUCAUUCCAAGAAAAAUUUAGAUUUAAAUUGUUAGCAUGAAGUUCACCAUCCAUCUUUACGUUGUGCAAUGCCAGUUUUAAAUACUAAUAUAAGUGCACUGAUCUCAUAUGUGGAAUCACAGAAAUUAUGCAAUUUGUACUUCAUAGCUUAUACAUGCAUAUAGAUUUUGUUUUUACCAGAACCACGCUGGUAAAAACAGAUGCUGCACAAAGUGAACUUGCCCGUUUUCAUCGCACUUUACGUGCACGAAUUCUACCUCUACUCUCGACCUGGGACUCACCGAUGCGUAAGGAAGGACUGAAAAGCAAAAGAACUAUGGACUGGCCUUUUGGCAUGAUCAGGUGUCUAAUAUAAAGAAGUGCAUGAAUAAGAAAAUAUAUGAUAUGAGUGAUGGUUAAUACUGACUGUCAACUUGAUUGGAUUGAAGGAUGCAAAGUAUUGAUCCUGGGUGUGUCUGUGAGGGUGUUGCCAAAGGAGAUUAACAUUUGAGUCAGUGGGCUGGGAAAGUUCGACCCACUGUUAAUCUAGAUGGACACCAUCUAAUCAGAUGCCAGUGCAGCUAGAAAUGUAAAGCAGACAGAAAAAUGCGAAAAGAGAGACUGGCCUAGCCUGCCAGCCUACAUCUUUCUCCCACGCUGGAUGCUUCCUGCCCUCGAACAUCAGACUCCAAGUUCUUCAGUUUGGGACUUGGACUGGCUCUCCUUGUUCCUCAGCUUGAAGACUGCCCAUUGUGGGACUUGUGAUCAUGCCUGUUUUUCCUGGAACCAGCAGGACUCCCAUCCAGGUCCACUCAAGUUGUGACACUGCUUGGCUUACU
rnacentral:lncRNA from 10 species